rnacentral:rRNA from 1 species
CAAGUCGAACGAUUAGACUCCCUUCGGGGAGUGUAUAAAGUGGCGCACGGGUGAGUAACACGUAAGUAAUCUACCUUCGAGUGGGGAAUAACGUCCGGAAACGGACGCUAAUACCGCAUAAUGCAGCGGCAUCGAAAGAUGACAGUUGUUAAAGGAGCAAUUCGCUUGAAGAGGAGCUUGCGGCAGAUUAGCUAGUUGGUAAGGUAAUGGCUUACCAAGGCUACGAUCUGUAUCCGGUCUAAGAGGACGGUCGGACACACUGACACUGAAUAACGGGUCAGACUCCUACGGGAGGCAGCAGUCGGGAAUUUUGGGCAAUGGGCGAAAGCCUGACCCAGCAACGCCGCGUGAAGGAUGAAGUAUUUCGGUAUGUAAACUUCGAAAGAAUGGGAAGAAUAAAUGACGGUACCAUUUAUAAGGUCCGGCUAACUACGUGCCAGCAGCCGCGGUAAUACGUAGGGACCAAGCGUUGUUCGGAUUUACUGGGCGUAAAGGGCGCGUAGGCGGCGUGUUAAGUCAGCUGUGAAAUCUCCGAGCUUAACUCGGAACGGUCAGCUGAUACUGAUGUGCUAGAGUGCAGAAGGGGCAAUCGGAAUUCUUGGUGUAGCGGUGAAAUGCGUAGAUAUCAAGAGGAACACCUGAGGUGAAGACGGGUUGCUGGGCUGACACUGACGCUGAUGCGCGAAAGCCAGGGGAGCAAACGGGAUUAGAUACCCCGGUAGUCCUGGCCCUAAACGAUGAAUACUUGGUGUCUGGAGUUAUUAUUGCUCCGGGUGCCGUCGCUAACGUUUUUAGUAUUCCGCCUGGGGAGUACGCACGCAAGUGUGAAACUCAAAGGAAUUGACGGGGACCC